rnacentral:lncRNA from 1 species
AUUGCAGUGAAUAAUAGGUUGUUCCUGACCCAGAGACCUUUUGUUUCCUUUCAGGGUGGUAUAAAUAAACAUAUAUAUUAAACAUGUGUCAGAAGGCUCACAGAGGUGAAGUGGCCAACCUGAAACUCAGUUUAUAAAUGUUACAAAAUGGGUGAAAGCGAUUUUGUAAAGGACUUUAAGAGGCAUCCUUCUUUUUCAAGAGGAAAAGGAGUUAAGCCCAGGUGGAUGGAUAACCCGGACCUACAUCCCUGUUACACAGGAGUCUGCUUCACAGGAAACUCGAUCACCACUGUCUCCAAGAGCAGGUGUCUUUUGCCCGGGCCCCUGAGCACGAGGGUCUCUGGCUUACAUCUCUACUGUUGCUGCUUCUGAGAACUAAACAUCCUUCUGCCCUUUUCCCCUUUACACCGUUCUGCCCUCUUCACAUCACUCUCCCUCUUUUAGGGAAAUGGGAGCAUGUUUCUGACUGGCCUACUUGCAGAAUCUGCAUGCCUGUGUCCCAGCUGGCAAAAGUCCUCUCCUGGGGAAAUAAGGAUUCCUGGAUAAAAGUUACAAGAUGUAGAAGCCACGUUCAGGAGGUUGGAAUGAGAUGAAUGUCUGCUCUAUCUCCUUGACAGGCAUGGGAGCUGGAGGUUAUGCUAAGUAGUUUUUAUGAUUACAAAAUUUCACAUAGGGCUCUGUGGUAUCCAUUAGUCUCUACUGCUGGCCUUGAUAUAGGCCAAAUGUCUUUGAGUUUGGAAUAGUGAGUUUAUAUGUACUGAUUAUAGCAUCUUUCUCAGGGCUCCUAACAUCUCUGUGCUUAUGGUCCCUCCUCGAGCGUCCUUUGGAACCUAUACCAGAGAGUACUUUGUUUUCCUUCUGUGAUCUCUUAGGAUGCCCUGACAACCCAAAGUUUUUUUGUUUGAUUCAGCUUGAAGAAAUGUUAUUGACAUUUUAAAAGUGAACAGGUUGACACUGAAAUUACAUAAAUGAUGGCAAAUAGCAGAAGUUCACUUUGGUCACCCCAAGUGCUUGAUGGCUAUAUCUGAACCCAGGGUCUUAAGGGAAUAAAAAGGCCAAAACUAAGGACUGACA